rnacentral:rRNA from 1 species
AACGAACGCUGGCGGCAUGCCUAACACAUGCAAGUCGAACGAGACCUUCGGGUCUAUUGGCGCACGGGUGCGUAACGCGUGGGAACCUGCCCUUAGGUUCGGAAUAACUCCCCGAAAGGGGUGCUAAUACCGGAUAAUGUCUUCGGACCAAAGAUUUAUCGCCUUUGGAUGGGCCCGCGUUGGAUUAGCUAGUUGGUAGGGUAAAAGCCUACCAAGGCGACGAUCCAUAGCUGGUCUGAGAGGAUGAUCAGCCACACUGGGACUGAGACACGGCCCAGACUCCUACGGGAGGCAGCAGUGGGGAAUAUUGGACAAUGGGCGAAAGCCUGAUAAAGCAAUGCCGCGUGAGUGAUGAAGGCCUUAGGGUUGUAAAGCUCUUUUACCCGGGAUGAUAAUGACAGUACCGGGAGAAUAAGCUCCGGCUAACUCCGUG